UACGUAGGGUCCGAGCGUUGUCCGGAGUUACUGGGCGUAAAGCGCGCGCAGGCGGCGGUGCUGGCCCGGCGUGAAAGCCCCCGGCUCAAUCGGGGAGGGUCACGCGAUACUGAUCGACUCGAAGGCAGGAGAGGGAAGUGGAAUUCCCGGUGUAGUGGUGAAAUGCGUAGAUAUCGGGAGGAACACCAGUGGCGAAGGCGACUUCCUGGCCUGUUCUUGACGCUGAGGCGCGAAAGCUAGGGGAGCAAACGGG
rnacentral:rRNA from 1 species